UACGUAGGGGGCGAGCGUUGUCCGGAUUUAUUGGGCGUAAAGAGCUCGUAGGCGGUUGGGUAAGUCGGGUGUGAAAACUCAGGGCUCAACUCUGAGACGCCACUCGAUACUGCCCUGACUCGAGUCCGGUAGGGGAGCGUGGAAUUCCCGGUGUAGCGGUGAAAUGCGCAGAUAUCAGGAGGAACACCGGUGGCGAAGGCGGUUCUCUGGGCAUUACCUGACGCUGAGGAGCGAAAGCGUGGGGAGCGAACAGG
rnacentral:rRNA from 1 species